ensembl:ncRNA F56F10.7 ncRNA
UGUUUUACGAGACUACCUUGAGGGACGGGAGGGGGGCUCCCGCACUUCCCACCCGGAGAGAGAGGGACUCCUUGCUUUGUUUGAUCGUUGGCUAAAUCUUCUCACGGACGAAGGCGCCCCGGGGGGCUCCGCGCUAGAGCCGCUUAUUGUUUGAUUCGCGGUUUUGACCAUCAUC